rnacentral:sRNA from 1 species
AUUCUUGGUGUACAGGGCUGAUGAGAAUUAGAAUGUUUGCCGAGCGACAGAUUUCGCUAAUUUAACAAGUUAGUGUCGGCAAGAUACCCGAUACUUUAUAACGACCAAGAUCUAUGUGAUAUUCCUGAUCUCAUCAAAUGAAAGGAAUUAAAAUGAAUUUGGACGUCAUUAGAACAAGAAAUGGAAAGUAAACACUGUGUCCACACGUUGUACGGGGCACUUAUUGAAGGCACCCAAAGUACAUGAUUAAUAAGCCAGGUCCCUUCUUCAUGAACCGUGCUCUUUGAAUUGAGAGUACAAGUAAAUAGGCACCGCGGACGAUUCGGGAAUUAUAAAUUAAUUUCAUGACGUGCGCGAGGAUAAUAUCCAACAUGGACAAACUACUCAUAAACACUCGAACAUUCAAAGAAAGAAAAAGGGGGUAUACACCAAAAACAGAGAAGUACCCGGAAAAUCAUACGAAAGACACGGUUGCUCAACGGAUUAGGCAAACACUUACAUAUCAGCGCUGACAGUGCUUCGUAAGUCCUCGUCCUUAUGUAAGAAACCGAGAAGUAACGAACUACUAGGCAGCGAUUGGCCGCAAUGGUACCACUGACACAAGGGUACAAACACACAUGUACACGUGCCCGUGGGGUAUGAUGUUUUUCUACAUUGACUGCGAAAAACAAAAACGUCAGUGUUGUUUGCACAUUAAAUGCUAUCAGCCAACUUAUAUUUAUUUGAAAAAUAAUUAUACACGUGCUUCUUGUAUAAUUUGACCGACUGUUUAAAACAACUAAAAGUCAGGUACUGACUAGUGAAAUAUCUCAUAGUGAUGUAAUUCAAAAAUACUUUUGUCUUGAAAUAAAUUACAAGGCUACGGCU